rnacentral:rRNA from 1 species
GGGAGCUUGCUCCCUGAUGUUAGCGGCGGACGGGUGAGUAACACGUGGGUAACCUGCCUGUAAGACUGGGAUAACUCCGGGAAACCGGGGCUAAUACCGGAUGGUUGUCUGAACCGCNNNGUUCNNNCAUAAAAGGUGGCUUCGGCUACCACUUACAGAUGGACCCGCGGCGCAUUAGCUAGUUGGUGAGGUAACGGCUCACCAAGGCGACGAUGCGUAGCCGACCUGAGAGGGUGAUCGGCCACACUGGGACUGAGACACGGCCCAGACUCCUACGGGAGGCAGCAGUAGGGAAUCUUCCGCAAUGGACGAAAGUCUGACGGAGCAACGCCGCGUGAGUGAUGAAGGUUUUCGGAUCGUAAAGCUCUGUUGUUAGGGAAGAACAAGUGCCGUUCAAAUAGGGCGGCACCUUGACGGUACCUAACCAGAAAGCCACGGCUAACUACGUGCC